rnacentral:rRNA from 1 species
UACGUAGGGUGCGAGCGUUGUCCGGAUUUAUUGGGCGUAAAGAGCUCGUAGGCGGUUCAGUAAGUCGGUUGUGAAAACUCUAGGCUCAACCUGGAGACUGCAUUCGAUACUGCUGUGACUAGAGUCUGGUAGGGGAUCACGGAAUUCCUGGUGUAGCGGUGAAAUGCGCAGAUAUCAGGAGGAACACCGGUGGCGAAGGCGGUGAUCUGGGCCAGUACUGACGCUGAGGAGCGAAAGCGUGGGGAGCAAACAGG